rnacentral:lncRNA from 1 species
GAGGGACGGCCCACCCAACAGAAGCCACAACAGGUCCCCAAAGAAUUUCUGCAGGCUGGGACUCCUGAGUGAAAUGAAGAAGUGGGAUUCAACAGAGAGAAAUGUGAAGUCUGCCAGCUAGCCCUGAGAAGCAGGCAUGACAAGAGAGGAUGCCCGUGUUACAGAUGAGAAAAACAGAGGCCCUGGGAGGAAGCUUGCCUAAUGCCACUCAGGAGGUAGAGGCAAAGCUGGGAAAGGCCCUGGGUCCCCAGACUGCCCCUCUGGAACUCCACAUGCAGCCACCUGGCUGUCCUGCCCGGGAUGCCAUCCGCAGGCUAGGCUGGCGCUCAUGCCCAUGCCCUGCUGUCCACUGACACCCCGCAGAGCUUAACACCCCGCUGAGCCUGCCCUGCAGCCCUUGCCAAGUCUGUCCGAGUGGCCUCAGUCAUUGGCAAGUCACAUUGCUGACAUCGCAACUGCAUAAAAUUAAUUUAUUUAGUUAA